GAUGAACGCUAGCGGGAGGCCUAACACAUGCAAGCCGAGCGGGAUUUGUUGGUUAGCUUGCUAACUAACAAUGAGAGCGGCGUACGGGUGCGUAGCACGUGUGCAACCUGCCUUUAUCUGGGGGAUAGCCUUUCGAAAGGAAGAUUAAUACCCCAUAACAUAUUGAUUGGCAUCAGUUAAUAUUGAAAGCUCCGGCGGAUAGAGAUGGGCACGCGUAAGAUUAGCUAGUUGGUGAGGUAACGGCUCACCAAGGCUGCGAUCUUUAGGGGGCCUGAGAGGGUGAUCCCCCACACUGGUACUGAGACACGGACCAGACGCCUACGGGAGGCAGCAGUGAGGAAUAGUGGACAAUGGGUGAGAGCCUGAUCCAGCCAUCCCGCGUGAAGGACUAAGGACCUAUGGUUGGUAAACUUCUUUUAUACAGGGAGAAACCUACUCUCGGGAGGGUAGCUGAAGGUACUGUAUGAAUAAGCACCGGCUAACUCCGUG
rnacentral:rRNA from 1 species